rnacentral:rRNA from 1 species
GUGUCAGCCGCCGCGGUAAUACGUAGGGACCAAGCGUUGUUCGGAUUUACUGGGCGUAAAGGGCGCGUAGGCGGCCCCGCAAGUCACUUGUGAAAUCUCCGGGCUUAACUCGGAACGGCCAAGUGAAACUGCGGAGCUAGAGUGCAGAAGGGGCAAUCGGAAUUCUUGGUGUAGCGGUGAAAUGCGUAGAUAUCAAGAGGAACACCUGAGGUGAAGACGGGUUGCUGGGCUGACACUGACGCUGAGGCGCGAAAGCCAGGGGAGCAAACGGGAUUAGAUACCCCCGUAGUCC